UACGUAGGGUCCGAGCGUUGUCCGGAAUUAUUGGGCGUAAAGGGCUCGUAGGCGGUUUGUCGCGUCGGGGAGUGAAAACUCAGGGCUCAACCCUGAGCGUGCUUCCGAUACGGGCAGACUAGAGGUAUGCAGGGGAGAACGGAAUUCCUGGUGUAGCGGUGGAAUGCGCAGAUAUCAGGAGGAACACCGGUGGCGAAGGCGGUUCUCUGGGCAUGACCUGACGCUGAGGAGCGAAAGCAUGGGGAGCGAACAGG
rnacentral:rRNA from 1 species